UCAGUAGCUCAGUUGGAUAGAGCAACCGCCUUCUAAGCGGUAGGUCGUGGGUUCGAAUCCCCCCUGG
rnacentral:tRNA from 1 species